ACGUAGGGUGCGAGCGUUGCCCGGAUUUAUUGGGCGCAAAGGGCGCGUAGGCGGCUCGGCACGUCCGUUGUGAAAUCGCCCGGCUCAACUGGGCGGGGUCAGCGGAUACGGCCGAGCUGGAGCAAGCUAGGGGGUAAUGGAAUUCCCGGUGUAGUGGUGGAAUGCGUAGAUAUCGGGAGGAACACCAGUGGCGAAGGCGGUUACCUGGAGCUUUGCUGACGCUGAUGCGCGAAAGCGUGGGGAGCAAUCCGGAUUAGAUACCCGGGUAGUCCACGCCGUAAACGAUGCGGACUAGGUGUCGGGGGUAUCGACCCCCUCGGCGCCGCAGCUAACGCAUUAAGUCCGCCGCCUGGGGACUACGGCCGCAAGGCUA
rnacentral:rRNA from 1 species